CAUGUAGGCGGUUGUUUAAGUCUGAUGUGAAAGCCCCGGGCUCAACCCGGGAAGUGCAUUGGAUACUGGAUAACUUGAGUACGGGAGAGGAAAGUGGAAUUUCGAGUGUAGGGGUGAAAUCCGUAGAUAUUCGAAGGAACACCAGUGGCGAAGGCGGCUUUCUGGACCGAUACUGACGCUGAGAUGCGAAAGCGUGGGGAGCAAACA
rnacentral:rRNA from 1 species